rnacentral:rRNA from 1 species
CGAACGGGUGAGUAAUGCGUGACCAACCUGCCCCAUGCUCCAGAAUAGCUCUUGGAAACGGGUGGUAAUGCUGGAUGCUCCAACUUGACGCAUGUCUUGUUGGGAAAGUGUUUAGUGGCAUGGGAUGGGGUCGCGUCCUAUCAGCUUGUAGGCGGGGUAAUGGCCCACCUAGGCUUCGACGGGUAGCCGGCCCUGAGAGGGCGGACGGCCACAUUGGGACUGAGAUACGGCCCAGACUCCUACGGGAGGCAGCAGUA